rnacentral:rRNA from 1 species
AUUGAACGCUGGCGGCAGGCCUAACACAUGCAAGUCGGACGGUAGCACAGGGGAGCUUGCUCCUCGGGUGACGAGUGGCGGACGGGUGAGUAACGUCUGGGGAUCUGCCCGAUAGAGGGGGAUAACCACUGGAAACGGUGGCUAAUACCGCAUAAUGUCGCAAGACCAAAGAGGGGGACCUUCGGGCCUCUCACUAUCGGAUGAACCCAGAUGGGAUUAGCUAGUAGGCGGGGUAACGGCCCACCUAGGCGACGAUCCCUAGCUGGUCUGAGAGGAUGACCAGCCACACUGGAACUGAGACACGGUCCAGACUCCUACGGGAGGCAGCAGUGGGGGAUAUUGCACAAUGGGCGCAAGCCUGAUGCAGCCAUGCCGCGUGUAUGAAGAAGGCCUUCGGGUUGUAAAGUACUUUCAGCGGGGAGGAAGGCGAUGUGGUUAAUAACCGCGUCGAUUGACGUUACCCGCAGAAGAAGCACCGGCUAACUCCGUGCCAGCAGCAGCCGCAG